AAUUUCAACAUUAAGGCCUCCCCAUUGCUGGGCUAUGCCUUUUGAAGCAGGGUUAGUACUUAGAUGGAGAACCACUUGGAAAUACCAGGUGCUGUAAGUU
rnacentral:rRNA from 1 species